rnacentral:rRNA from 1 species
GACGAACGCUGGCGGCGUGCUUAACACAUGCAAGUCGAGCGGUAAGGCCCUUUCGGGGGUACACGAGCGGCGAACGGGUGAGUAACACGUGGGUGACCUGCCCUCAGCUCUGGGAUAAGCCUGGGAAACCGGGUCUAAUACUGGAUAUGACUCCAUGACGCAUGUUGUGGGGUGGAAAGCCUUGUGCGGCUGAGGAUGGGCCCGCGGCCUAUCAGCUUGUUGGUGGGGUGAUGGCCUACCAAGGCGACGACGGGUAGCCGGCCUGAGAGGGCGACCGGCCACACUGGGACUGAGACACGGCCCAGACUCCUACGGGAGGCAGCAGUGGGGAAUCUUGCGCAAUGGGCGAAAGCCUGACGCAGCGACGCCGCGUGAGGGAUGACGGCCCUCGGGUUGUAAACCUCUUUCAGCUCCGACGAAGCGAGAGUGACGGUAGGAGCAGAAGAAGCACCGGCCAACUACGUGCCAGCCGCCGCCGUAAC